GAUGAACGCUGUCUACAGGCUUAACACAUGCAAGUCGAGGGGAGACGACGGGGAAGCUUGCUUCCCCGGGCGUCGACCGGCGCACGGGUGAGUAACGCGUAUCCAACCUGCCUCUGACUGAGGGAUAACCCGUCGAAAGUCGGCCUAAUACCUCAUGGCAUCGUCUGCGGGCAUCCAACGACGAUUAAAGAUUUCAUCGGUCAGGGAUGGGGAUGCGUCUGAUUAGCUUGUUGGCGGGGUAACGGCCCACCAAGGCUACGAUCAGUAGGGGUUCUGAGAGGAAGGGCCCCCACAGUGGAACUGAGACACGGUCCAAACUCCUACGGGAGGCAGCAGUGAGGAAUAGUGGUGAAUGGGCGGGAGCCUGAACCAGCCAAGUAGCGUGCAGGAUGACGGCGCUAUGGGUUGUAAACUGCUUUUAUGCGGGGAUAAAGUGAGGGACGUGUCCUUCAUUGCAGGUACCGCAUGAAUAAGGACCGGCUAAUUCCGUG
rnacentral:rRNA from 1 species